rnacentral:rRNA from 1 species
ACGGAGGGUGCGAGCGUUAAUCGGAAUCACUGGGCGUAAAGCGCACGUAGGCGGUGUCGUAAGUCGGAUGUGAAAGCCCUCGGCUCAACCGGGGAACUGCAUUUGAUACUGCGAUGCUUGAGUGUGGUAGAGGGGGGCGGAAUUCCAGGUGUAGGAGUGAAAUCCGUAGAUAUUUGGAGGAAGAGCGAUGGCGAAGGCGACCCCCUAGGCGGUAAUUGACGCUGAGGCGCGAAAGGGUGGGGAUCAAACAG